rnacentral:rRNA from 1 species
CCUACGGGUGGCAGCAGUGAGGAAUAUUGGUCAAUGGUCGGGAGACUGAACCAGCCAAGCCGCGUGAGGGAUGAAGGUACAGAGUAUCGUAAACCUCUUUUGUCAGGGAACAAAGGCGGGGACGCGUCCCCGGAUGAGUGUACCUGAAGAAAAAGCAUCGGCUAACUCCGUGCCAGCAGCCGCGGUAAUACGGAGGAUGCGAGCGUUAUCCGGAGUUAUUGGGUUUAAGGGGUGCGCAGGCGGUCUGUUAAGUCAGCGGUCAAAGCCCGGGGCUCAACCCCGGCCCGCCGUUGAAACUGGCAGUCUUGAGUUGGCGAGAAGUACGCGGAAUGCGCGGUGUAGCGGUGAAAUGCAUAGAUAUCGCGCAGAACUCCGAUUGGGAAGGCAGCGUACCGGCGCCAGACUGACGCUGAGGCACGAAAGCGUGGGGAUCGAACAGGAUUAGAUACCCUUGUAGUC